UAAAUAUUCAUUCAGAGAGUCAGCCCACCCCUUUAGGAAGUGGCUUCUCUGAGAGCUCCAGCGAUGCUUCUGGAGCACAUUUUAAUCUCAAUUAGUGCCUUGGGGAAAGAACAGCUUUAUUUUUCUAUCUUCUGUGGUUAUAUCAUGGUGUAGCAGACAAGUAAAUAACGUAAUCUCUCUUCAGAGAAUAAAGGACUCCUUAAGGUGUGUCAGAACCCGGGAGUUGAAGCUAAGGAGCCGGAAGGCGGAAGUGUUUGGGGCCGGGACUUUGAUGGAGCGCGGGAGAGGAAUUCGAUCGCCGGCAGCGCUUCACCCGUUACCAUAGCAACUGUCGGGCAGCCGCGGCCGGGGCAUGGAGGCAUGAAGCGUGUGCUUACAUAAGCCGGGAAUCGGCUGGCAGCUGUGUGAGGCAGUACUGCUGAGACCUGCGCAAUGAAUAGGAAGAAAAGGGGACAAGGGCUUUGAGAGCCCCCGACAUUACAAAUUAUAUGUUUCCUUCUUUAUGGCCCUCUUAUUGUGCCUAUCAGUAUGUGCUGUCAUGUAUUACUUGUUUAUUUGUGUGAUACGUUCCAUACAUACCUGGGGGGGGGCAUCUGAGUCUCACCCUCUCCUUAUAAAUCUCCCUCUAGCAGUGACCUGUGCCUCCCCCUGUGUCUGUACCUGUGCCCCCCGUGUGUCUGUACCUGUGCUGCCCAAGAUCAUGCAUGGAAAAAAAAAAUACUGUCAAAUACCGUGACACCGAUAUAAUUUUGAAAAAUACUGUGAUAUAAAUUUUUGGUCAUACCGCCCAGCUCUAGUCCAGAUCAUGCUGCAAACAUAGGAAAACACUCCAAAAGCAAAAAACCAGGGGGAGAGGAAGGCAAAACAUAAAAACUUACAGAAUCCCAGGGGUUGUUUAAGCAGUUCUUCAGCCCUGCAGAUGGCAAAGCUGCACUUCAUCCAUCCAAGAUGAUGCGGCAUCCUGCAUGGAACCCUACAGAUGAAUCAGACACAGAGACUGCAGCUCUAAAAAGUCACUUCUGACUAAAGCAGACAACAGAGGCAGAUGGAAUAAUCUGCACAUACACUGCCUACCUGAGCUCCCUGAAACAGUAAUGAAACUUUUUCAACAAAUCUUGGAGCAGCUUACCCCCUAUAAAAUUAAUAUUGAAAGGGCACACAGAGCUCUUAAACCAAAAGGUCUCCCUAUGGAUAGACCUAAAGUUAUAAAAUGUUUUUAGGCUUGCAAUAAAAGAAGAAAUACUUGCCAAAGCUAGGAAAUUGAGAAUGAUAAAAUCUGAUGAUGCAGACAUUAUUGCAGGACCUUUUUUGGUAUGCUCUGCAACAGAGACAGAUGAUUAGACUACAACAAUUAAAGGAAAAAAACCCUUAUGUUCCACUGGACGUAUCCAUUUGGCAUUCAAGUGUUUACAGAUGGCAAAGUUCAUUCGCUAACUAACCCAGAGGACUUAAUUUCUGGCAGGUUUGUGGACUAUAUGAACCAGAAGUCGACAAAUGGAGAAAAUUUAUUUUAACACCCAGAACCAAAUGGUACCAAAUGGUAUUUCCUUUAUGUGAGCAAGUUUUGCUCUGUACACAUUUCAUAUAGCUUUUGUAAAUGGAAGAAAGUACUUUUCAACCCCAAUUAUCAGUGGAAAAAGUGGAUUGAACAUUUCAUAAUUUGCAUCAGAAGUGCAAUGAAUGUAGUAAACACAGGUUCAUUCACUAACUAACCCAGAGGACUUUAUUUCUGCCAGGUUUGUGGACUAGAUGAACAGUUGACAAAGUGGAGAAAGUUGACAAAUGGAGAAAAUUUAUUUAAACACCCAAGGUCCCAGAUCUUCCAAAAAAAAAAACCUCUUGGACAUUGGUCUUAACACCUAAAAGUCAAAGGAUAAAGCAAAAACAAACACCGGAGAAAGUCACCAAGUUGGAGACUUGAGGGGCUGAAAAUUUAUUUGGAUGUUAUGUCUCAUUGAUAAGAAUUUGAUAAGAACUUGAUUUGUCCAGUGGUAAAUCUAAUAUUCCCCAUUCUGUCCUAAAUAAGAUUAAGAAAGUUCUUCAUAAAUGUCAGCUGGUAGUUAAUACUUUUUUCAUAUGCAAAGAAUGUAAACUCUAGACUAGACUAUAUUCUAAUUUUACAAUAUCCCUUAGAGAUGGUCAGAUUAGCUAAAAACAACAAUAUUAUUUGGUCUGAUCGUGCUAUGACACAAAUCCAAUUAGCUAUUGCUGAAAGACCAAUUACACCCUGGAAAUGGAGGUUAAAGAAUACACUACUAGAUGAUCAGGACUGCAUUAAAGAUCCGGAUACUGUAUAUAACAGAAAGGAAAAACAAAAUAUUGGAAAAAGCCAUAUUUAGGAAUACACCAUAAAUAGAAACAGAGUCAAUUCUCAAGCAAUUAACAGAAGCACGUCUAGAACUCCACAAGCAUACAAACUCCCAAAUUAAAUAUACACUCUCUAGAUUGAAGCAACAAUAUUUUGAGCAUGGUAACAAGUCAAGGAGAAUGCUCACAAGAACAUUAAUGGCCAUACAAACACAAACUUUUGUCCACCAAAUAGGGGAUACACAAGGUGAAUUACAAAUAACCUCACAAAAAAUAGCAGAAGUUUUUAAAUUAUACAAUCUGCAUGAAGCUGAAAACCAUAACAAAAACAUAGAGAAAUAUAUAACUAAUACCCUACCUAUUAUAUCAAAGUCAACGGCUAAGCAACUGGAAUAACCAUUUAUAGGAGAAGAAAUAAACCAAGCCAUUAAAUCUUUGAAAUUAAAUAAAGCACCAGGCCCAGAUGGAUGUACAGCCAAAUUUUAUAAAAUAUGUAAACCUAAUAUUAAAUCUCUGCUUCUUCCCCAGUUUAAUUCUUUCUCUAAAGAAUCCCCUCCUAACUAGGAAUUCUUACAUGCUCAUAUCUAAAUUAUCUACAAAACUUGGAAGGACCAUCCGGUCUGUAAUAAUUACAGACUGAUUUUCCUGUUAAAUUUAGACAUUAAGCUGUAUGCAAACUUCUGGCCAUUAAAAUGGAUCACAUAGACCAGGAAACCCAAUACCAUAAAAAUGUGUAUUUUGCUAAAAUGUAUUUACUGAUUCUCAACUCUUCCCCAGUAAAACAUUAUUCAGAACUAAAUGUUACAAUAGGCUCAUACAUUUGGGAUUGGAAAAAAGCAUUAGAGUUGAGACCUUAUAUAGAGAGGAUUCUUGGGUAGAAGGUCAGUUGGGUGCUUUGAUAUGAAAUAAAAAAGAAAAUACCCCAAUACAGCAAAAUCGCACAUAUUAAUAAUAAACUGCCCCAUGUCCAUCUCUGCUUACUCCCAUAUGAAAAAACAGGGAAUUCCUACCUGGUAUGUUGGACCCGGGAUAUGCCUGUGCCUUUGGUGUACCUAAUUUAGUCCUGACAGAUUUUCUUUCCUCUGAUACAUACCCAAUACCAACGAGGUUUCUUGGGUACACUAUAACUUGCUAAAUCAAAAUGUAAGGAAGUUAACUCCAUUUGAAAAUAUAUGUCCCAUGCAAAUAUAACUGAGACAUACUCUUACAUUACUGUACAAAAUACUUAGAGAGAAUAAAUAUCCAGAUCUCCCUUCAAAUGUUAAGGCAUGGAAAAAUCAGCUUAAUACCAACAUUUCGGAGAUGAGUUUUGGCAACAUUUAUAUAAAAUUUGCACAGAGAUUACUGGCUGCCAGGUUAACUAUUAAUGCUCUUUUAUAAACUGAAACUUAUUGACUCCACUAAGUUGGAGCUAUUGCUUCGAUUAUUAUUGCCCGCUAAAGCAUUAAUCCCAGUACACUGGCGCAAAGAAAACCCUCAAACUAUAGCCAGAUGGUACCGAUUGGCAAAUGAGAUCUAUAAUAUGGAAGACAUCUUGACAUCAAUACACAAUAAAUACAGUAUAUUGAUUAUAAAGCCACCUGGUUAUUCUGGAGGGUAUUUAUAGGGAGGAAAUCUGAGCCAACCAAAAGCCCCCUUAACUAGCUUGACCCCCCCUCACCUCUCCCUUAUCGCAUAAUUUCUAACUUUAAAAACUGUCCCUAUCGCUAACCCCAACCUAAAAGAGCAGUGUAGCACAGCUGCGUACCUGGCCGACAUCUUCCCUGCAAGCGAACAGUCUUUGGGUCUCUCCACCGAUACGGACCCUGUUUGCGCAUGCACAUUUGGAGGUAGCAGGAAAUCUGCUUAAACUGCGCAUGCAGUGUGCAAGCAGUCCGUUCUAAAUUAGGAAGCCUAUUUUCUAUGUCAGUCUAUGUUUACAUAGUAUAACAAUAGGUAAUGGCUUCAUUUUUGGGUAUAUACACUUACCUUUAAUAUACUUACCUGUUUUUUUACCCAUUAUUCACUUUAAUUCUUUUCUUCUUUCGUGAAGCUGAUUUUCACCCUCUCUGUAAAGUAAACAUGAUGAAUGUUGUCUAUAAUUUUGCUCUGUAUAAAUGGAUAUAUGUAGUGCUUUGCAUGUUUCAAAGCCUGUAAAAAUGUUUGUUUAAACCUUGGAUAUAAAAAAAAUAAAACUAUUAUAUCCCCAAA